GGGUCGUUAGCUUAGUCUGGUAGAGCAGUGGACUCUUAAUCCAUUGGUCAUAGGUUCGAAUCCUAUACGACCCACCA
rnacentral:tRNA from 40 species